ensembl:lincRNA
AUGAGCUACAGGAAGGAACGUGAGCCUUCUUUCAACAGCAACGUCGCAGCAUUUGCGCUGAAGGCCAAGGUCAUUUACCCCAUCAAUCAGAAGUUCCGGCCCCUGGCUGACGGCUCCUCCAACCCGUCCCUGCACGAGACCCUGAAGCCAGCGGCCCUGCCACACCAGCCGGGGGGACCCUCGCCAUCCAGCAGCCUGGGCAGCCUGAGCCCAGCCGAGAAGGAAGACUGCAGCUCCUCCUGCAGCGCCCGCUCUGCUGCCAGUGAGGACAGACUGCUGUGCCGCGCCUUCCUGAGGGCAAACAGCUUCCCUGAGGUGCUGGCCUGCGAGAGUGCAGACAUCGAGCUAUGUGUCUAUAACCUUCACCUCAAAGACCUGCAGCGCUUGGAUGCGGCGCUGAGGCAGGAGCAGCACUUGAUGUUUAUUCAGAUUUUUAAAAUGUGCCUCCUGGACCUUCUUCCGAAGAAGAAGUCAGAUGAUGAAUUGCACCAAAAGAUCCUUUCAGAACAAGAACAUGAUUUGGAGGAAUUAGAGAAGGGACUUCAGAUCAAGCUGUCAAACACGGAAGUGCUGGGCACCAGCGACUCGGAGUACAUCACGCUGGCAGAUGUGGAGAAGAAGGAGAGGGGGUACUCGGAGCAGCUCGUGGACAACAUGGAAGCCUUCUGGAAACAGAUGGAAAACAUCCAGCACUUUCUUGUGGACCAAUUUAAAUGUUCCAGCGCCAAGGCACGGCAGCUCACGAUGACUCUGACGGAAAGAAUGGCUGUGGCCGAAGAGCUCCUGCGCCAGUCUCAGGAUCUGCAGACUCUGGACACCCUGGAGAGGACGCUGGGCCGGGUGCACAUGGCCAAGCUGAUCGCGUGCCUGCUGACGCAGAUCCAGGAGGAGACCAAGUGCCGCUUGGCCGCCAUGUCCCGAAGCCUGGACCUGCUGGCCGUGCAGGGGACGCUGUCUGGGCGGCAGAAGGAGGAGCUGCUGGCCCAGCAGCACAAGGCCUUCUGGGAGGAGGCAGAGCACUUCGGCCGAGAGUUCCUCCAGCGCAGCAAAGACCUAGCCCAGGCAUCUCUGGCUCGCCAGGUAGAGGGGGCAGCCAGGCUCACACUGGCCCACGAGGAGGAACGGAGGAGCUUCCUGGCCAGUUCCCUGCCGACCCAGGACCCAGAGGGGUUCCUCAAGGCUUUCCACGAAGUCCUGGAGCGGCAGCAGCUGACGCAGAGGGACCUGGAGGAGCAGGAGGAGGUGAGAGCCACUGAGGCUGCAGCUGCACUCUGCCAGGAACUGUACUGCAGCACCAUGGACACCUUCCAGUGGAUGGCAGACACCCUGUUCCUGCAGACGCUCCCGGGGGUCAGCGGCCUCCCCAAGACAGAGUGCAAGGCCCUGCAGCAGGCGACGCAGGAGGAGGCAGCUCGGCAGCUGGGCCACUUGGACCGUUUCCGGAGACAGCAAUGGGGCCUCCUGCAGGACCUCCUGGAGCAAGACAGGCAGAGGCUGACACUACAAUGCUUAAUACCCAGGAUGCUUUGCAGUUGGCAGCAGCCAAAUGACACAGCUCUGACCCAUGAGACAUAGUGUGGUAACUGCAGAAGAUUCCUCAUUCCUGAUGGCGCAGCUAUGCCUUGUGAGCAGCACUACUAUAUCCCAGAGCCCUGCUCUUCCCGCCUAGAAUGUGUGUUCCAUCCUUGCCUGACUUAGACUCAGUCAGCCGAACACACCGGAGCACACAGACAGCCAGAGUUGCAAGAAAGUGGGGAAAGAGCCGCUGCGCCUGCCAUGGCCCACCCACUCCUAGGUGCCUAUU